AUGUCUUCUGAGUUUCUUAUUGAAUACAGUUAAUGCCAGGUUGGGCAUUUUUGUUGGCACAGGUUCAUCACUUAACGAAAUCUGCAGAUUUAUGAUUAUUUUGCGUAUUCUUUAUCCAAAUGCUAGCCUAUUACCUUAUUGUUAGCUGUCUUCAAAUCCUGAUGGACGCCACCAUACCCAACCCGCAGUGACUAUAUCUUGUGGUGGAGGA
rnacentral:misc_RNA from 1 species